GACUCAUUGGUCAUUCCAGAUGCUCUGAUCCUAAUAAUCCUUUUGAUACUCUGUUCUAAUUUACUAAGAAGAGUCACCAAUUUUGUUUCUGUGGUUUGGUAUGAAAUAAGGUGGCAGAAACAGCACUCUCCAAAUAUCCAUGCACUCCUGACAUUUUUCAGCAGCCCACAUUACUAAUUCUGGCUGAGGGAUUGGGAGCAGAAGAGACACGUGUCAUCUCUGAGUUGAGGCUGUUAAGAGCUGGUGCAACUUUCCAUUCUUCUCUUCCCCUCUAGCAGUGACCUGAGAAGCUACGUAUUGACACGGCGCUACCACGGGUGGAGGAGCCUGCAUUGCUGAAUCACAGGAUGAAGGCGAAUCCCUGCCAGCCUCCAUCCAUCUCUGGGGUGCUUAGCAGAAUCCUCAGCUCACAAGAUGAAUAAAUGCAGACUAAAUGAUGCACAAAUAAUCUUCACACACAACCAUCAACACAUGGAAAGACUGCAGGACGGCCAGAUCCCAAGCUAACAAACAGGGGAAGAUGAUGUUUCAAAUGAUCAUCUGAAUGCUGGGUUUCCACCUUCCACCAGGAAGUCAUAUGGUAAAAAGAAAAAAAAUGGCAUUAUGAUACAAACAGAAAAUGUAACAGUGGAGUGCAGAAAAUACAAAAAAAAGGAAAAAAUAAAUAGAAAAUCUUCAAAGAGGCAAUCUGUUUAAAUCUUCAAGAACUGGAAACAGUAAAAGUGAACAGGUUUUUAUUGAGCAUGUCAAUAAAAUGUUUGCAUAAGACUUUACAAGUGCUUUAUUUCAUGAGGUUUUUAUUAUUGAUCAAAGCAACGAAAAUGAACGGGAAAUUCAUUCUCAUCAAAUCUACAACUUGGGAGGAGGUCCGAUGAAAUCCCUGGAAGCUCACAUUUUUUAUAAAUGAAGAGUUAAUUACCGGUGGGAACAAUGAGAACCUCUGUGGUUCUUCCUGAUGCUUGGAUCCUCCCAGACCUCUGUUUCCAGUCUCCUUCUCCACAACCUGGCCUAUGCGAUGCAAGUGGUCUAACUGAUCUCCGCCUAGGGAAGGAUCCUUCGGCAACUUGCCGACAAGAGAAGCAGCGAUGCCCGAGGCAGGUCCAAAGGAGCACUGACUGCGUGGGAUUGAUUACACUGGAGGAACAAAAGGUCCUGUGGCUACACAAGUUUGAAAAGCAGAAGGUACAAUCAUUGUAUUUCUGGCAGACUUUUCAAAGACUUUAAUAUAUGAAUCCCUCAUAUGAAUCUCCUGGAGGAUUAUAUAAUAGGCAGAUCUCCCAGCCAUUUUCACUGAACAGUUCUUAGAAUUGGUAUCCUUGAAAAAUUUCACCUAACCACUCAAUAUGGUAGCCACUAGUCCUGGGUGGCUAUUGAGCACCUGAAAUUUGCCUAGUCUGAAUUAAGACACAUUCUAAGAAUAAAGCACACUGUAUUUCAAAGGCAGUACAAAAAUAAAAAAGAAUGUAAGCUGUCUCAAUAAUAAUUUUUGUAUUGAAUACGUGUUGAAAUGAUGUUAUUUUUGAUAUAUUGAGUGAAAUAAAUUGUAUUGCUAAAAUGAA
ensembl:lncRNA CT69 cancer/testis associated transcript 69